rnacentral:rRNA from 1 species
GACGAACGCUGGCGGCGUGCUUAACACAUGCAAGUUGAACGGAAAGGCCCUGCUUUUGUGGGGUGCUCGAGUGGCGAACGGGUGAGUAACACGUGAGUAACCUGCCCUUGACUUUGGGAUAACUUCAGGAAACUGGGGCUAAUACCGGAUAGGAGCUCCUGCUGCAUGGUGGGGGUUGGAAAGUUUCGGCGGUUGGGGAUGGACUCGCGGCUUAUCAGCUUGUUGGUGGGGUAGUGGCUUACCAAGGCUUUGACGGGUAGCCGGCCUGAGAGGGUGACCGGGCAAAUUGGGGCUGGGAUUCCGGCCAGACUCCUACGGGGAGGAACAGUGGGGAAUAUUGGACAAUGGGGGGAAGCCCGGUGGAGCAAAGCCGGGGGGGGGAAUACGGCCUUCGGGGUGGAAACCGCUUUCGCCUGUGACGAAGCGUGAGUGACGGUAAUGGGUAAAGAAGCACCGGCUAACUACGUG